GUUGGUUAUGGGGACAUGUAUCCCAUGACUGUAGGGGGCAAGAUCGUGGGAUCUCUUUGUGCCAUUGCAGGUGUCCUCACCAUUGCCCUACCAGUACCGGUAAUCGUCUCCAAC
rfam:Sarcophilus harrisii ctg7180001482685, whole genome shotgun sequence.